GCCGGGUAUGGUGGUGCACGCCUGUAAUCCCAACAACUCAGGAGGCUGAGACAGGAGGAUCACAGAUUCAAAGCCAGCCUCAGCAACAGCGAGGCACUAAGCAACUCAGUGAGACCCUAACUCUA
rnacentral:sRNA from 1 species